rnacentral:rRNA from 1 species
GACGAACGCUGGCGACGCGCUUAGCACAUGCAAGUCGAACGGAAAGGCCUGCUUUCCCUUGUGGAUUGCGGGUACUCGAGUGGCGAACGGGUGAGUAACACGUGAGUGAUCUGCCCCCAACUUGGGUAUAAGCCUGGGAAACUGGGUCUAAUUCCCGAUAGGACUGCAGGGUGGUGCCUGUGGUGGAAAACGAUUUUCUAGUGGUUGGGGAUGAGCUCGCGGCCUAUCAGCUUGUUGGUGGGGUAAUGGCCUACCAAGGCGGCGACGGGUAGCCGGCCUGAGAGGGUGGACGGCCACAUUGGGACUGAGAUACGGCCCAGACGCCUACGGGAGGCAGCAGUGGGGAAUAUUGCACGAUGGGCGGAAGCCUGAUGCAGCGACGCCGCGUGGGGGAUGACGGCCUUCGGGUGGUAAACUCCUUUCGAGCGCGAGGAAGCCACCUGGUUGGAAGGGUGGUGACGGUAGUGGUAGAAGAAGCACCGGCUAACUACGUG